CACCCGUGGCAUGGGCUUGUGGCUGUUCCUUCCCCGGUCUCAUAAGUCUGAGGGAAAGCUGGCUGAAGUGAAGCCCAAGGGAGGGAGGGAAUGCUCAGCCAGAAGAUGCGAGAACCUGGAAGUGGCCUGCCUGAGCUUGGAUGACCAUUUCUAGGCCAGAGCAAGACAGAGGCCAAGAAGAGUGAAGAGAAGGAAUCUUGCCCCAGGGACCAAGAGGCGGUUUUUGAACCGUGCUCCCGUGCACAAGGCCACCAGCAAAGCUCACCCUUGACUUCUAUCAGGCUCCCUCCACGGCUCUGGGUCACAGUGCAGCCUGUGGGAACCCGAAGCUCUUGCCCACAUGGAAUGUGGGAAUCCCCACAGUGGCCUCAGGAGAAAGCCUGCUCAGAAAGACUGAGGAACCAUCCGAUGAGACCCGAUCACCAUCGUAAUAAACAGAGGAGAAAACUGGCUCAGAGAGGGCAAUGAUCUGCCCUGGGGCACACAGCUAGGUGGUGACGAAAUGACUGGACUGAGGUUCACAUAAGACUCAGCCCCCCAGGUGGCUCCUCAGAGUCUCUGAGAAAACAACCCCAGAGGCAGAGUUCCUCACAGCACUGAGGGCACCCAAGAGGCCUGGACAAAUCCCUCCCUGCUUCCAGGGCCAAGGAACGAGAAACAAGGGGAGAAGGCCUGCCUCUUCCUCUUGGGCCCUGGGAGACACAGAACCUUCCUUUGCCCAUUCCAUGGACAUAUGCAGAGGUCUCCUUGGGUCCACACGGUGCUGCGUCAGCAACAGGCAGAGGGAUGCUUCAGGAGGGGUGUACAUGAGUUGAGCUGGGGGGGAACACAGGGACACAUGCGUUGACAUGACAGGGAAUGCUGGAAUUGGGUUAGGGGACACAACACUUGCUGCUUUUCUCAGGUCCCCAUCUCAGCGAGGGCACCCCUACCCCUACGGCCAUCCAGGCGAGAACUCUGGGAGUCACUCCUGACGCUGCCCGCCCACAAGGGCAAUCAGUCAUCAGGUUUGUCUCGCCGGUUGUCUCCUGUCUACACCCACUGCCCCUGGUUCGGUUUUCAGCCCUGGUUUUCUGGACUGUGACCCUAGGCUCCCCUCUGCCCCUGUGCUCUCCAAGUAGAGUGUCUUGUCUCUAGGACAGAUCUGUCCAUGCUUUUUCCCUGUGCCCCAUGGCAGGAUCUCCAUGGUGUCUGAGAAGAUGGCCAUGAAGCUUGAGUGUGGCACUCAAGGCCUUUACCCCUGGCCCCAAACUUCUUCUCCAGCCCUGUCUCUUGGUCCAGACCUGCACUGUUCAAGGCAGCAGCCACCAGCCACAUGCGGCUACUAAGGUUAAUAUGCUUUGAAAUGAAAUAAAACUGAAACUCUGUUCCUCAGUGGCCCUGAGGUGCUGGGUUACGCAUCUGAAUUGGUCAAGAGCCACACAGGACGGGUGGCCAGUGUCUCAGACAGCACAGAUGCAGAGCCCCAGGAACCGUGUGGUCAAACCCUCUGGAUCUAACAGGAAACUGAGGUCCACCGAAAGGGACUGACUAGCCAGUGGCCACAUGGCUUGACAAAGGAGAACCAACUGGAAAACAUGGUGCCGGCAGAAGUGAGACACGAAACAGGAAGCUCUGAGCGGCAAAGCUGGUGCAGAGGAAGGGCAGUGGCGGGGUCUGGGUUCACAGAUGCGUGUCAUGCAAUUCUCACAGCCAUCUCACGGAGGGGGAAAUAGAGGCUCAGAGAGAUCAGACAGCUGGCCCAAGGUCACACAGCUCCGUUUCCAAAUCUGUAAAGA